rnacentral:rRNA from 1 species
UACGGAAGGUGCGAGCGUUAAUCGGAAUUACUGGGCGUAAAGCGCACGUAGGCGGUUUGUUAAGUUGGAUGUGAAAGCCCAGGGCUCAACCUUGGAAUUGCAUCCGAUACUGGCAGGCUAGAGUACAGUAGAGGGAGGUGGAAUUUCCGGUGUAGCGGUGAAAUGCGUAGAGAUCGGAAGGAACACCAGUGGCGAAGGCGGCCUCCUGGACUGAUACUGACGCUGAGGUGCGAAAGCGUGGGGAG